ensembl:snoRNA SNORD82 Small nucleolar RNA SNORD82
GGCACAAAUGAUGAUCUGCCAAGGGACUUAAUGCUGACGCCUGAUGGAUCCUCACUGCAGGCUGAUGUGC